rnacentral:rRNA from 1 species
GACGAACGCUGGCGGCGUGCUUAACACAUGCAAGUCGAACGGUGAAGGGACCAGCUUGCUGGUUCUGGAUGAGUGGCGAACGGGUGAGUAACACGUGAGUAACCUGCCCCCUUCUUCUGGAUAACCGCAUGAAAGUGUGGCUAAUACGGGAUAUUCUGGGUCUGUCGCAUGGCGGGCCCGGGAAAGAUAUUGCUUCGGUGGGGGAUGGGCUCGUGGCCUAUCAGCUUGUUGGUGGGGUGAUGGCCUACCAAGGCGGUGACGGGUAGCCGGCCUGAGAGGGUGGACGGUCACACUGGGACUGAGACACGGCCCAGACUCCUACGGGAGGCAGCAGUGGGGAAUAUUGCACAAUGGGCGCAAGCCUGAUGCAGCGACGCCGCGUGAGGGAUGGAGGCCUUCGGGUUGUAAACCUCUUUCGCCAGUGAAGCAGGCCUGCUCCUUGUGGGUGGGUUGACGGUAGCUGGAUAAGAAGCGCCGGCUAACUACGUG